AUACGGAGGAUCCGAGCGUUAUCCGGAUUUAUUGGGUUUAAAGGGUGCGCAGGCGGCCAUUUAAGUCAGCGGUUAAAUCGUGGGGCUCAACCCCAUUCUGCCGUUGAUACUGGGUGGCUUGAUUGCGGUCGAGGUUGGCGGAAUUCGUUGUGUAGCGGUGAAAUGCAUAGAUAUGACGAAGAACACCGAUUGCGUAGGUAGCUUACCAGACCGCAAAUGACGCUCAUGCACGAAAGUGCGGGGAUCGAACAGGAUUAGAUACCCUGGUAGUCCGCACAGUAAACGACGAAUACUUGUUGUCGGCGAUAUAAUGUCGGAGGGAAAGCGAAAGCGACAAGUAUUGCACCUGUGGAGUGCGCCGGCAACGGUGAAACUCAAAUGAAUUGACGGGG
rnacentral:rRNA from 1 species